rnacentral:rRNA from 1 species
UACGAAGGGUGCAAGCGUUACUCGGAAUUACUGGGCGUAAAGCGUGCGUAGGUGGUUUGUUAAGUCUGAUGUGAAAGCCCUGGGCUCAACCUGGGAAUUGCAUUGGAUACUGGCAGGCUAGAGUGCGGUAGAGGGUAGUGGAAUUCCCGGUGUAGCAGUGAAAUGCGUAGAGAUCGGGAGGAACAUCUGUGGCGAAGGCGACUUCCUGGCCUGUUCUUGACGCUGAGGCGCGAAAGCUAGGGGAGCAAACGGG